GGUGAUCUUAAAUCAAUCUACUUCAAAAUUCGUUCAUGAUAAGAAAUUCUCAGAAGAAACAUAUAACAGUAUAUUUGGUGCAUCGUUUUUAACAAAAAAAAUCGAACUUCGCAAAAGGUCUAACAUUGAGUAUCAAAUAAAUAUGAACAGUAGUGAAUGUGAUCAUUCUUUUUUUUUACAAAAAAGCUCUCCUUGUACCGAUUUAUCAUUCUCUCUUGAUCACAAAACGAAGCUAAAGGUUGAUAGAGGUCAAUAUUUCAUAGGUGCUAAGCUAGACCUACAUGGUUGCAACAUAGAUUAUGCUUAUUACAAAUUGAUGGAUUUUAUUACAAGGAACUACCAAAUAGGUAAUAGAUGUUUAUUAGUAAUUACAGGACGCGGUAAUUCAACAAACAAAGUCGGAGUUAUAAAAAACAACCUGCGUAAAUGGUUGAGCGAUACUAAAAUUUAUCAUAUGGUUUUAUACUUUCAUCAGGCUACAAAAAAGCACGGUAGC